AGUAAAGAAAAAUCAAAUAAAUGGUGAGAUUAUGGAAGUAAAUAUUCUCGCAUUUAUUGCUACUGCACUGUUCA
rnacentral:tRNA from 1 species